UACGGGGGGGGCAAGCGUUGUUCGGAAUUACUGGGCGUAAAGCGUGCGUAGGUGGUUUGUUGAGUCUGAUGUGAAAGCCCUGGGCUCAACCUGGGAAUUGCAUUGGAUACUGGCAGGCUAGAGUGCGGUAGAGGAUGGCGGAAUUCCCGGUGUAGCAGUGAAAUGCGUAGAGAUCGGGAGGAACAUCUGUGGCGAAGGCGGCCAUCUGGACCAGCACUGACACUGAGGCACGAAAGCGUGGGGAGCAAACAGG
rnacentral:rRNA from 1 species